UACAGAGGAGCCAAGCGUUGUCCGGAUUGACUGGGCGUAAAGCGCACGCAGGCGGAUGCGCGCGUGGGGUGUGAAAUCUGGCCGCUUAACGGCCAGGCGCCAUCCCAUACGGCGCGUCUGGAGUGAUGCAGAGGUCGGUGGAAUUGCCGGUGUAGUGGUGAAAUGCGUAGAGAUCGGCAGGAACACCCGGGGGGAAACCAGCCGACUGGGCAUCUACUGACGCUGAUGUGCGAGAGCGUGGGGAGCGAACCGG
rnacentral:rRNA from 1 species